CACGUAGGGGGCGAGCGUUGUCCGGAUUUAUUGGGCGUAAAGAGCUCGUAGGCGGUUUGGCAAGUCGGGUGUGAAAUUUCGAGGCUCAACCUCGGAACGCCACUCGAUACUGCCAUGACUGGAGUCCGGUAGAGGAGUGCGGAAUUCCUGGUGUAGCGGUGAGAUGCGCAGAUAUCAGGAGGAACACCGGUGGCGAAGGCGGGUCUCUGGGCCGAAACUGACGCUGAGGAGCGAAAGCGUGGGGAGCGAACAGG
rnacentral:rRNA from 1 species